CGGCCUUCCGCCGUCCCCCGGUCCUCAAGUACCGGAUGUAACAGAGCCCACCACCGGCCUGGAGUGGUUUGAAAUGACCGCGUCAAGUGGUCCUUCCAGUUCAGACCAGGGAGUCCCAAGGUCGCCUGUGGUGUUAGCUUCAGCUAGCAUCCAUAGCUCCCCUCUCUACAACUUUGCAGUCCCAUCCACCCCAGUGGAGGAAGCACUGACGUUUCCCCUCAGCCUCAAGGAAGAGUUCUGCACACCACCCAGCAACAGUAUGGUGUCACCACUGGUUCAAACUGUGCCCACCUUUGGAGAGCAAGAGCCUUUUUUGGAAAGAAAAUACUCUUUCAAAAGUGGAUCCAAACCCAGUGUAGAAAUGGCAAAAGAAAAUGGAGUAAAGUAGAGAAAGACAUCAUCUGGGAAUCAAAAAGAAAAGACACAAACUGAGCCUGGAAGCUCAGUCCUCCAAAGGUGAUGACAGGAGACAUGCAGGCACAGUACAGGAAGAGGAAGGAGGCCACACACUGGAGGCUCAGACCGUCC